rnacentral:rRNA from 1 species
CGUUUAUCGAGAAACCGCGAACGGCUCAUUACAAUGGCCAUGAUUUACUUGAUCUUGAUUAUCUAAAUGGAUAACUGUGGAAAAGCUAGAGCUAAUACAUGCACUAAAGCUUUGUCCUUACGGAAAAGCGCAUUUAUUAGAACAAAACCACGCGGCUUCGGCUGCUUCUUGUUGACUCAGAAUAACUAAGCUGACCGCAUGGCCUUGUGCCGGCGGCGUGUCUUUCAAGCGUCCACUUUAUCAACUUGACGGGAGCAUAAUCGACUCCCGUGGUGGUGACGGAUAACGGAGGAUCAGGGUUCGACUCCGGAGAAGGGGCCUGAGAAAUGGCCACUACGUCUAAGGAUGGCAGCAGGCGCGCAAAUUACCCACUCUCGGCUCGAGGAGGUAGUGACGAGAAAUAACGAGACUGUUCUCUUUGAGGCCGGUCAUCGGAAUGGGUACAAUUUAAACCCUUUAACGAGUAUCAAGCAGAGGGCAAGUCUGGUGCCAGCAGCCGCGGUAAUUCCAGCUCUGCUAAUACAUAGAAUUAUUGCUGCGGUUAAAAAGCUCRUAGUUGGAUUCGUAUCGRUACCUUGGAACCCUUCGGGUGUCUCUAGGUGUUAUCGAUUUAUCGUAAUGUUCGGUUUUGAGUCCUUAACAGGAUUCUUAACAGGCAUUGCAAGUUUACUUUGAACAAAUCAGAGUGCUUCAAACAGGCGUUUUCGCUUGAAUGAUCGUGCAUGGAAUAAUAGAAAAUGAUUUCGGUUCAGUUUUAUUGGUUUUACGGACUGAGAUAAUGGUUAACAGAGACAAACGGGGGCAUUUGUAUGGUCCCGUGAGAGGUGAAAUUCUUGGACCGUGGCCAGACAAACUACAGCGAAAGCAUUUGCCAAGAAUGUUUUUAUUAAUCAAGAACGAAAGUCAGAGGUUCGAAGGCGAUCAGAUACCGCCCUAGUUCUGACCGUAAACGAUGCCAACUAGCGAUCCGCYGAUGGAAAUUAUAUUGCCUUGGUGGGGAGCUUCCCGGAAACGAAAGUCUUCCGGUUCCGGGGGAAGUAUGGUUGCAAAGCUGAAACUUAAAGGAAUUGACGGAAGGGCACCACCAGGAGUGGAGCCUGCGGCUUAAUUUGACUCAACACGGGGAAACUCACCCGGCCCGGACACUGUGAGGAUUGACAGAUUGAUAGCUUUUUCAUGAUUCAGUGGAUGGUGGUGCAUGGCCGUUCUUAGUUCGUGGAGUGAUUUGUCUGGUUUAUUCCGAUAACGAGCGAGACUCUAACCUACUAAAUAGUUGGUACAUACUCUUWGUGUAUACAGCUUCUUAGAGGGAUUUGCGGCGUUCAGCCGAAAGAAAUUGAGCAAUAACAGGUCUGUGAUGCCCUUAGAUGUCCGGGGCUGCACGCGCGCUACACUGGCAAAAUCAACGUGCUUGUCCUACCCCGAAAGGGGCGGGUAAACCAUUGAAAAUUUGCCGUGAUUGGGAUCGGAAAUUGCAAUUAUUUUCCGUGAACGAGGAAUUCCAAGUAAGUGCGAGUCAUCAGCUCGCGUUGAUUACGUCCCUGCCCUUUGUACACACCGCCCGUCGCUGCCCGGGACUGAGCCAUUUCGAGAAAUUUGGGGACCGUUGAUUUAAUUUUUCUAAAUUACUUUG